rnacentral:rRNA from 1 species
AUGUGGAGGAUAUUUGGCUUCGCACUUUGCGCCAAUCACCCGCCUGUCUUGCAGUUGCCUCUUCAUCUCCCAAAUAUGCACAGGGUUGCAUUCAAUGCGCAGGCUGACUUGAAGAAUGUUGUCGCCUCCGAAAAUGCUUCAAAAUCCAUGUUAACGGAGCAUUUCAAGGCUAACCAGGAACACCCUUGGGCUAGGCAUAUAUUGUACAAGAAUUUUCCCGGAAGCUUCACGUGGCAGCAGAAAAAUAAGUCUUGGAGGCCUCGGGUCGAGCGUUUUCAAAUAGGUCACAUAGUGUCUGCCAAUCCUGCCGAGGGGGAGCGAUACUACCUGCGUGUGUUGCUAAACCAUGUUGCGGGCAAACCAUCCUUUGACGACUUGCUCACCAUUGACGGCGUGCUAUGUGGGAGCUUUAGAGAGGCUGCUGAACAGUUGGGUCUCAUUGAGGCAGACAACACGCUUGACGACUGUCUUAGUGAGGCUGAGCAGUGGGCGAUGCCAUGUUCUCUUAGGAGGAUCUUUGCUACCAUAUUGGUGCACUGCGAGCCAGGCGACGUGCAUGGUUUAUGGGAUAGGCACCUCGAGUCUAUGUCAGAUGACUAUCGUUGA